rfam:Gossypium hirsutum cultivar TM-1 chromosome 23, whole genome shotgun sequence
UAUUAAAAUUUUAAUCUAUUUCUAUUGUUAAAAACUAACAUGACUGACGAAAUAACCAGACAAUUACAUAUAGUAUAACUUGUGCAUCUCAUGUUGACAUGCAAGAAUUAAUUUUUAACAAUAAAAAUAGAUAAAAUUUUUAACA